rnacentral:rRNA from 1 species
GACGGAGGAUGCAAGUGUUAUCCGGAAUCACUGGGCGUAAAGCGUCUGUAGGUUGUUUAAAAAGUCUGCAGUUAAAGGUUGAAGCUUAACUUCAAAAAUGCCGUAGAAACUUUUAAACUAAGAGGAUGGUAGGGGUAGAGGGAAUUUCCGAGUGGAGCGGUGAAAUGUGUAGAUAUUGGAAAGACCACCGAUGGCGAAGGCACUCUACUGGGCCAUGACUGACACUGAGAGACGAAAGCUAGGGGAGCAAAUGGG